rnacentral:rRNA from 1 species
AACGCCCGGUCCCAUCCCGAACCCGGAAGCUAAG